rnacentral:rRNA from 1 species
UCAGCUUGUGUGUUAGUGGAACGGUCUGGAAAGUCCGACGGUACAGGGUGAUAGUCCCGUACACCAAAAUGCACAGGCUGUGAACUCGAAGAGUAGGGCGGGACACGUGGUAUCCUGUCUGAAUAUGGGGGGACCAUCCUCCAAGGCUAAAUACUCCUGACUGACCGAUAGUGAACCAGUACCGUGAGGGAAAGGCGAAAAGAACCCCGGCGAGGGGAGUGAAAAAGAACCUGAAACCGUGUACGUACAAGCAGUGGGAGCACCUUCGGGUGUGACUGCGUACCUUUUGUAUAAUGGGUCAGCGACUUAUAUUCUGUAGCAAGGUUAACCGUAUAGGGGAGCCGCAGGGAAACCGAGUCUUAACUGGGCGUUAAGUUGCAGGGUAUAGACCCGAAACCCGGUGAUCUAGCCAUGGGCAGGUUGAAGGUUGGGUAACACUAACUGGAGGACCGAACCGACUAAUGUUGAAAAAUUAGCGGAUGACUUGUGGCUGGGGGUGAAAGGCCAAUCAAACCGGGAGAUAGCUGGUUCUCCCCGAAAGCUAUUUAGGUAGCGCCUCGUGAACUCAUCUUCGGGGGUAGAGCACUGUUUCGGCUAGGGGGUCAUCCCGACUUACCAACCCGAUGCAAACUACGAAUACCGAAGAAUGUUAUCACGGGAGACA